UCUGAGUGAAUCGCCAGAUGUCAGCUGCGAGUUUUCCUGUGGAGCUAACUACACCCCAAAGGCUCUUUUAAUAGCCACAGCACUGGGCAUCUUUGGCUUUAUCAGCUGUCAUGGAGGCCAUGCAGCCAAGACCAACUGGGAUGCUUGUUGCCAUAUUUCUUUUUGUUGCACUAUUGUCAUGAUCUCUGCUUUGGUUUGUUAUGAAUUCAGUUCUCUACUUUUUUUUGUAAUGUUCUAGAAUAAA